rnacentral:rRNA from 1 species
GGUGGUCGUUCACGCCGGGUGUGAAAGCCCUGGGCUCAACCUGGGAAUGGCAUCCGGAACGGGGCGACUAGAGUGCAGGAGAGGAAGGUAGAAUUCCCGGUGUAGCGGUGAAAUGCGUAGAGAUCGGGAGGAAUACCGGUGGCGAAGGCGGCCUUCUGGCCUGACACUGACACUGAGGUGCGAAAGCGUGGGUAGCAAACAGGAUUAGAUACCCUGGUAGUCCACGCCGUAAACGAUGUCGACUAGCCGUUGGGAGCCUUGAGUUCUUAGUGGCGCAGUUAACGCGAUAAGUCGACCGCCUGGGGAGUACGGCCGCAAGGUUAAAACUCAAAUGAAUUGACGGGGGCCCGCACAAGCGGUGGAGCAUGUGGUUUAAUUCGAUGCAACGCGAAGAACCUUACCUACCCUUGACAUCCUGCGAACCCGAGAGAGAUCUCGGGGUGCCUUCGGGGGCGCAGAGACAGGUGCUGCAUGGCUGUCGUCAGCUCGUGUUGUGAAAUGUUGGGUUAAGUCCCGUAACGAGCGCAACCCCUAUCCUUAUUUGCCAGCGAUUCGGUCGGGAACUCUAAGGAGACUGCCGGUGACAAACCGGAGGAAGGUGGGGACGACGUCAAGUCAUCAUGGCCCUUACGGGUAGGGCUACACACGUGCUACAAUGGCCGGUACAAAGGGCAGCAAGAGCGCGAGCUGGAGCGAAUCCCAUAAAGCCGGCCUCAGUCCGGAUCGGAGUCUGCAACUCGACUCCGUGAAGUCGGAAUCGCU